rnacentral:rRNA from 1 species
GUGAGGAAUAUUGGUCAAUGGACGCGAGUCUGAACCAGCCAAGUAGCGUGAAGGAUGACUGCCCUAUGGGUUGUAAACUUCUUUUAUAUGGGAAUAAAGUUGUCCACGUGUGGAUUUUUGUAUGUACCAUAUGAAUAAGGAUCGGCUAACUCCGUGCCAGCAGCCGCGGUAAUACGGAGGAUCCGAGCGUUAUCCGGAUUUAUUGGGUUUAAAGGGAGCGUAGGCGGAUUGUUAAGUCAGUUGUGAAAGUUUGCGGCUCAACCGUAAAAUUGCAGUUGAUACUGGCAGUCUUGAGUGCAGUAGAGGUGGGCGGAAUUCGUGGUGUAGCGGUGAAAUGCUUAGAUAUCACGAAGAACUCCGAUUGCGAAGGCAGCUCACUGGAGUGUAACUGACGCUGAUGCUCGAAAGUGUGGGUAUCAAACAGG